GACGAACGCUGGCGGCGUGCUUAACACAUGCGAGUCGAACGGAAAGGCCCUGCUUUUGUGGGGUGCUCGAGUGGCGAACGGGUGAGUAACACGUGAGUAACCUGCCCUUGACUUUGGGAUAACUUCAGGAAACUGGGGCUAAUACCGGAUAGGAGCUCCUGCUGCAUGGUGGGGGUUGGAAAGUUUCGGCGGUUGGGGAUGGACUCGCGGCUUAUCAGCUUGUUGGUGGGGUAGUGGCUUACCAAGGCUUUGACGGGUAGCCGGCCUGAGAGGGUGACCGGCCACAUUGGGACUGAGAUACGGCCCAGACUCCUACGGGAGGCAGCAGUGGGGAAUAUUGCACAAUGGGCGGAAGCCUGAUGCAGCAACGCCGCGUGCGGGAUGACGGCCUUCGGGUUGUAAACCGCUUUCGCCUGUGACGAAGCGUGAGUGACGGUAAUGGGCAAAGAAGCACCGGCUAACUACGUG
rnacentral:rRNA from 1 species